AACUCGACUGCAUGAAGCUGGAAUCGCUAGUAAUCGCGGAUCAGCACGCCGCGGUGAAUACGUUCCCGGGCCUUGUACACACCGCCCGUCACACCAUGGAAGUCUGCAAUGCCCGAAGCCGGUGGCCUAACCACUUAUGUGGAAGGAGCCGUCUAAGGCAGGGCAGAUGACUGGGGUGAAGUCGUAACAAGGUAAC
rnacentral:rRNA from 1 species